rnacentral:rRNA from 1 species
GACGAACGCUGGCGGCGUGCCUAAUACAUGCAAGUAGAACGCACAGUUUAUACCGUAGCUUGCUCCACCAUAGACUGUGAGUUGCGAACGGGUGAGUAACGCGUAGGUAACCUGCCUGGUAGCGGGGGAUAACUAUUGGAAACGAUAGCUAAUACCGCAUAAUAUUAAUUAUUGCAUGAUAAUUAAUUGAAAGGUGCAAUUGCACCACUACCAGAUGGACCUGCGUUGUAUUAGCUAGUAGGUGAGGUAACGGCUCACCUAGGCGACGAUACAUAGCCGACCUGAGAGGGUGAUCGGCCACACUGGGACUGAGACACGGCCCAGACUCCUACGGGAGGCAGCAGUAGGGAAUCUUCGGCAAUGGACGAAAGGCUGACCGAGCAACGCCGCGUGAGUGAAGAAGGUUUUCGGAUCGUAAAGCUCUGUUGUAAGAGAAGAACGGGUGUGAGAGUGGAAAGUUCACACUGUGACGGUAUCUUACCAGAAAGGGACGGCUAACUACGUG